GACGAACGCUGGCGGCGUGCUUAACACAUGCAAGUCGAACGGAAAGGCCCUGCUUUUGUGGGGUGCUCGAGUGGCGAACGGGUGAGUAACACGUGAGUAACCUGCCCUUGACUUUGGGAUAACUUCAGGAAACUGGGGCUAAUGCCGGAUAGGAGCUCCUGCUGCAUGGUGGGGGUUGGAAAGCUUCGGCGGGUGGGGAUGGACUCGCGGCUUAUCAGCUUGUUGGUGGGGUAGUGGCUUACCAAGGCUUUGACGGGUAGCCGGCCUGAGAGGGUGACCGGCCACAUGGGGACUGAGAUACGGCCCAGACUCCUACGGGAGGCAGCAGUGGGGAAUAUUGCACAAUGGGCGGAAGCCUGAUGCAGCAACGCCGCGUGCGGGAUGACGGCCUUCGGGUUGUAAACCGCUUUCGCCUGUGACGAAGCGUGAGUGACGGUAAUGGGUAAAGAAGCACCGGCUAACUACGUG
rnacentral:rRNA from 1 species